rnacentral:lncRNA from 1 species
UAAAACUUGUUUUCCUCUUUUAAUUUCUCAUUUUCAAGAGUUAGUUUUUCAAAAUCCUUUUCUUUUGAAGAAAUUUGUUUUCUUAAAUCUCUUUAUAGAUUUAGAAGCGCUAAUAAACUCUUUAUACAAUUCAUCAAAUGCAUCUUACAUUUCUUCUAAAGUGAAAUAGUUCUUAGAAGUAGUACAUACCUCAUUUUGAGUUUCUUCGUGUGCCAUAAGACACAAGUUU